UCAGUUUUGUUGCAGGCUGCUGAACCACUUGCUUGAUUUUCUGCAGUCCCAACAUGAACACUUUGUUAGAUCAGUGAGGUGAAAAGCAUCCAGAGAGGCAUAUGAGAAUGAAUGGGGCGAAGCUACACUUAGGUGAGAGGGUUCGAACGUCAGAGGCGGAUCUAGGAUUUCAAGGUUGCGGGUGUCAUGUCAUUUUUAACGUUAAAGCUACUACUCAAAAAGGAUAAUUUUUAUGGGCGUCCCACUGGAAUUUGACUUGUUAGUAAGAGAUUUUUGAAGGAAAAUUUCAUUGAAACAUUAUCGAAGAACCUAAUUUUUAUGAAUUCAAUUGGAAAUCAGUUAAUUUUUUGCUU